AAAAAUUAUACCUAACGGUUGAAAACAUAUUACCAGUACUUCAUAUGUGAAAAAUGAGUUAGGCCGUUUGUUUGUUGGUUUAAAUUUGAGCUGUUAAAAUGUCUUUUUUUUUAAAUUGAUUUAAUUUAAGAGUUUAAAAUUUUAUUUGUCACUUAACAUCAUUUCAAUUAAUAUUAAGUCACGUUCAUUUUUAUUGGUCAAUUAUGAUGUUUAACUUUUCGAUGCAGAAGUCCAACAACGACAAGUCCCAUGGAAGAUGAACUCCCUCAUCUUCUUGAGUUCUCCGGCGGCGAUUGGAUCGAAAGAAGAGAGAUGGCGGUGGGCGGAAGAUUUUGCAGGAUGUAAACCCAAUCCACAGAUCCACUGAUCUAAUCGCUGGCGAGUCCCCUGGUCCUGCUACGAUUUUUCUUCUCAUUGGAUUGGUGUUCCCUCCAUCCUCUAUUUCAAGUUUCCCAUGAGGUUGGAUAUUGGUUGUCGUACCUUCCUCUCUCUCUCUUUUCUCUGCUGAUCCCCUCUUGCUCGCUUCUCAUCCGACCACCACAAAGACAAACAGCAGAUCGGAAGAGCAGAUCGGAAGAGAGAUCCGAAGAUGGUCUUGAGCGAGAAUGAAGGAGUAUCCGCCGGCCAACAGAUGAUGGUGAUAAAAUGAAUGCACCCCUCUUGCUCCGACCAUCACAGAAACAGCAGAUAGGAAGAGAGAUCUGAAGAUGGUCUUGAGAGAGUAGUAUCCGCCUGCCGAGUGACGACGAUACGGAUUUUCUCCAGGGCUCCGUUGAUCCAGUGGCGACGAGGGCCUCUGUGAUUCUCAGCCUUCAACUCUCUGGAUUUUCCUUCUUUCUGGUGAUUUCUGAUACGGAAGAACGGAGGACGGAACGGAACCUAACUGCCUAUGGAUUUAGCUAAGAGCAAGGGGGAAGGAGAUCCCCCAAGGCCGAAAACCAACUCCAAGCUCCAUGGUACCACCAUUGUAAAACUCAGCUCUAGCUUAUCGGUCUAUGAGUAUUUUGUUUGCGUGAUUUUGUGGCGCGGUUAUUUGUUAAUUUUUUUUACUAAUGAUGCUAAUUCUCAUGCUUAGAUUUUGGAUUUCCUGACAUUUUGUGCACAAUAGUUAUUUGGGGAGAUUGAGUUUCCUUAGCUGCAUCGUCUAAUUUUAUAGGGCAUCUUUUGUAACUCUUAUGAUGCAGGUUUGUGAGUCUUAGUCGUUGAGUCAUGUUUGGGGUAUUUCUGGGUAAGCUUUGGGUAUGGGUGUUGAUCAUUUGGUUUGGUGUGUUUAGGGUCAGAAGGAGGUUGUCUAGGUGUUGAUUGUGGUAGCUAUUCGAUUUAACCUUAGCUGAGUUUGGUUUAAUUUUGGCUGGAUUUGGUGUGAUAAAUGUUCUUAUGAUUUUCAUUAUCAAGCCUCCAAAAUUAAUUAUAGUAAAGUAUGAUAAGAUGAUUAAAUAAAUAUAUUAUCUUUAUUUUUAUAAAGAUUAUAUAAAACCUUAUCUUCUUGUAAUAAUUUAUCAAGAAAAAACAAAUAAAAAAAACAAAGGAAGGCCCAAGCCAUCCUAAUAAACAAGAAUAAGAAAUAGUUCUCUGCAACUACACAUAUCUCUUUCGGCCAAUACUAUCUUACUUUACAACUCAAUCACCCAAUUCAUUCCUUUCUAUACAUUCAUAACCCAACUUUUGGUCCUUACAAACUAGUCACUAAAUUAUUCCAACAAGCCUAUGUUUUAAUUCCGUAUAGCAAAAGCAAAGCAUUGCUAUUGAUUCUAGUUCAAUGCAUAUAAUUACUUAAUUUUGUGCAUCAUUAAGAAUUCACGGUAUGAAUGACAAUAAACAGUAACCAUGAAACUAUAUAUUAUUAGUUUCUCCGGGUAUAGUGUUAUGAAAACAGUGAUUACGACUAAGGAACCACAGUUAAAAGUAAUAAAGAACAAGCUUAUAAAAUGUGCUAUUUAGUCACUUUCCCUAGAGUAACCGAACGGCCCUUUCUUGUAGUGAGGAAACCGCCUGGGGAUCGGCAUCCCGAAUCAGAACGAUACUCGUGUGUUGGCUUCUUAUUGUAUCGAGAAUAAAUUGCCGUACCGGCCAAUAUAAGUAUUGCAAAACCACCAAUUAUUCCGGCCGCCAAUCCAAUAAUCACGCUCUUGUUGCUUUUCUUGCCUUCCAAUUUGUCUAGGCUGGGACCACCUUCCGAGUCUAACUCGGAGUAAAACGUCCACAUCUUGAGCGUCUGAGUCUGGUAUUUUUGCCCCGUUGAUCCGGAGAAGCCGAAUAAAGCCCACUCGGUCAGAUAAUCCUUCAAAUCCAAUUCGUAGCAUAGUGUAUUCCCGUGAACAUCAAUCGUCACUGUUUGUUCUUUGCCAGGUGCCGUCUUCUCAUUGAGCCCUAUGAACUCUACACACAGGUUCUUGGCUUUGUAAGACACGGUGGCUGACAUGAUGGUCCUAUUCGCGUAGCUCUGCCACAUCUUGUUGGCGACAGACUUGAUGGAAUUGAUAUUAAUGCCAACGUGGCCACGAG
rnacentral:lncRNA from 1 species